rnacentral:rRNA from 1 species
UAUGUGAUCGUCUCUCGCAUAUCAAUAAGCGGAGGAAAAGAAACUAACAAGGAUUCCCCUAGUAACGGCGAGUGAAGCGGGAAGAGCUCAAAUUUGAAAUCUUAAAGGGUUUCCCUUUACGAAUUGUAGUUUAGAGAAGUGUUUUCUGUUGAGGUUUUGGUAAAAGUUCUUUGGAAUAGGACAUCAUAGAGGGUGAGAAUCCCGUAUUUGACCUUUACUUUCAACUUUGUGAUACACUUUCAAAGAGUCGGAUUGUUUGGGAAUGCAGUCCAAAAUGGGUGGUAAAUUUCAUCUAAAGCUAAAUAUUGGCGAGAGACCGAUAGCGAACAAGUACCGUGAGGGAAAGAUGAAAAGAACUUUGAAAAGAGAGUUAAACAGUACGUGAAAUUGUCAAAAGGGAAGCGUUUGACACCAGUGUUGUUUUUCUGAAAAUCAAUUAAAGAACUGUUUAUGCUAAGUUGUUUAGACUUUAUCAGCUAUCUGCUUAGUUUUGAAGCUUUUCUUUAAUGCACUUUUCAGUUAACAAGUCAACAUCAAUUUCUUUUGCUGUAAAAAGGCUUGAGGAAGGUGGCUUGAGAUUCGUCUUAAGUGUUUAUAGCCUCUUGCCUAUGCAGUCGGAGAGAUUGAGGUCUGCAGCGUAGAUCCUUCGGGGCUAAAUGCAUUUGUGCUAAGUUAUAGUAUUUUAUAGACAACUUGUUGACUAUGAUUUGUCUUGUAGCUUACUCGCUUAUGUUAUUUUACCUACGCUUAGGAUGUUGACGAGACUGUCGAUCUC